CUAUAUCAGUUAGAAUAAGUAUGUUUGUUGGUAAGCUGAAGUUUCAGUAGGAUUAAUUCUAUUGUUGAUAAUCCAAUGUACAUGUAUAUACAGUAAAAACCCUUUAUUUUGCCACCCCUUAUACCGCCAAACACGCUUAUCAUCAUGAAUUUAUUAAUUUAUUAUUUAACGGAUUUUCUCCCAUGCUAAUAUUAUGACUCAACAGAAUUUAUCAUUCUGUCAAGCUACCGUGACAUGUUUACUCCUAACCUCAAAAAUGUUUACCUGUAAUAUGUCAGGAAAGCGGGGAUAUAAAAUCCAUGAAUUUGCUUGUUGAAUCCUAAGAUUAUGAAGAACAUUCUUGUCAUCCGAUGAUCUGGUAUUUGCUGGACUAUCACAGUCUCCUGAGGAUUGCCAUGCCAAAGGCCAUGUUGUUGUAUAUUUCAAAAGCCAAGAUGAGACUUCCUGAGUCCAGAGAACCUUGAGAGUGUCCGAGAUUUCUUCUCCAACAACAGUGGCCCAGGUCUCCUCAUUUCCAAUAGCAGCUUUCUGAGGAAUAUCCACUGUACACUGGUCUUUGAAGGCCAGUGUGGGAAGGUGGGAUUAUGUUGGCAGUUAGGCAUAUCUCAUCUUCCUCAUUCAACUUGUAAUGACUACUGACAUAUUGGCAGGCAUUACACUGAAGUCUCUAACCAACCCCAUCCCCAUUGCUUUGAACUUUGGGAAUCAAACUUCAGAUAUCCUUUGCAGUCUUGGUGCUCCAGAAUGAUAUUGUUCCAUAGUCUUUCAACAUCAAUUGGCCGUAAUAACUUGUAUGUGUAGUUGUCAGGAUCUCGUUAAGUUGUCACAAUGUAGGUGUCAAAGACAGUCUGGGCAGGCUGGAGUUUCAGGAUAUUCAUAUCACUUUGAAUCCCAGCAGCUCAAAUGUACACAUUUCACCAUUAUGAUAAAUCUUGAGUCAAACACAUCUUGGGUUAAUCUGUUCAAAAGCACUGCAUAACGUACUUAAUUGAGUACUACAAUUUUAUAACUCACUACCUGAAAAUCAUAUGAUCAUGAAUCAUAGAAUUAUAUAUUUGAUACUUGUGUGCUAACUAUGAAAUAAUUCUGUUAAAAACAGUGCUUUCUGAAUGAAUAUUUGUUUGUAUUUUCAAGUAAAAUCAUGCAGUCAUAUGGAGUUUGGAACUUCACUCUCAGACCAAGGGGGAUAACUCCAUUUUGAAUGAGAUCAUGGACCACAGUCAUCACCGAAACUUCACAACUUUAUUUGGAAUCAUCUUUACUUUUAAGAAUACAGAUUUAAAUUAAAGAGAGACUUCAGUAUGGAUAUACUUGACAUUGGAGAAGCUGAUGAUGAUGUUUGUCUAACUCCAGCUCCAUUGGAACCAGACACGUAUACUUUAGAGGCAAAAAUCAACAGUAGAGCAAGCUAAGGUGAUGUCACUAGUGAUCUCAUCUCAUGGACUGUCACUGUGGCCCAGGACCAGGUGAUGUCACUAGUGAUCUCAUCUCACGGACUGUCACUGUGGCCCAGGACCAGGUGAUGUCACUAGUGAUCUCAUCUCACAGACUGUCACUGUGGCACAGGACCAGGUGAUGUCACUAGUGAUCUCAUCUCACGGACUGUCACUGUGGCCCAGUCUGUGACUAGUGAUGUCAUCCCGCGGACUGUCACUGUGACCCAGGACCAGGUGAUGUCACUAGUGAUCUCAUCUCACGGACUGUCACUGUGGCCCAGUCUGUGACUAGUGAUCUAAUCUCACGGACUGUCAUUGUGGCCCAGGACCAGAUGUCACUAGUGAUCUCAUCUCACGGACUGUUACUGUGGCCCAGGACCAGGUGAUGUCAUUAGUGAUGUCAUCCCGCGGACUGUCACUGUGGCCCAGUCUGUCACCAGUGAUCUCAUCUCAUGGACUGUCACUGUGGCCCAGUCUGUCACUAGUGAUCCCAUCUCACGGACUGUCACUGUGGCCCAGUCUGUGACUAGUGAUCUCAUCUCAUGGACUGUCACUGUGGCCCAGGACCAGGUGAUGU